AUAGUUUCCAGGUCAUUAGUACCGUAACCAAUGAGAGGUGAUAUAGUUUCCAGGUCAUUAGUACCGUAACCAAUGAGAGGUGAUAUAGUUUCCAGGUCAUUAGUACCGUAACCAAUGAGAGGUGAUAUAGUUUCCAGGUCAUUAGUACCGUAACCAAUGAGAGGUGAUAUAGUUUCCAGGUCAUUAGUACCGUAACCAAUGAGAGGUGAUAUAGUUUCCAGGUCAUUAGUACCGUAACCAAUGAGAGGUGAUAUAGUUUCCAGGUCAUUAGUACCGUAACCAAUGAGAGGUGAUAUAGUUUCCAGGUCAUUAGUACCGUAACCAAUGAGAGGUGAUAUAGUUUCCAGGUCAUUAGUACCGUAACCAAUGAGAGGUGAUAUAGUUUCCAGGUCAUUAGUACCGUAACCAAUGAGAGGUGAUAUAGUUUCCAGGUCAUUAGUACCGUAACCAAUGAGAGGUGAUAUAGUUUCCAGGUCAUUAGUACCGUAACCAAUGAGAGGUGAUAUAGUUUCCAGGUCAUUAGUACCGUAACCAAUGAGAGGUGAUAUAGUUUCCAGGUCAUUAGUACCGUAACCAAUGAGAGGUGAUAUAGUUUCCAGGUCAUUAGUACCGUAACCAAUGAGAGGUGAUAUAGUUUCCAGGUCAUUAGUACCGUAACCAAUGAGAGGUGACUCAUUGCA